AUUGAACGCUGGCGGAAUGCUUUACACAUGCCAGUCGAGCGGCAGCGCAGCCUUCGGGCUGGCGGCGAGCGGCGAACGGGUGAGUAAUGCAUCGGAACAUGCCCAGUCGUGGGGGAUAACACUUCGAAAGAAGUGCUAAUACCGCAUACGUCCUGAGGGGGAAAGCGGGGGAUCGCAAGACCUCGCGCGAUUGGAGUGGCCGAUGUCAGAUUAGCUAGUUGGUGGGGUAAAGGCCUACCAAGGCGACGAUCUGUAGCUGGUCUGAGAGGAUGAUCAGCCACACUGGGACUGAGACACGGCCCAGACUCCUACGGGAGGCAGCAGUGGGGAAUUUUGGACAAUGGGGGCAACCCUGAUCCAGCCAUUCCGCGUGAGUGAAGAAGGCCUUCGGGUUGUAAAGCUCUUUCGGCAGGAACGAAACGGUGGGCUCUAACAUAGUCCGCUAAUGACGGUACCUGAAGAAGAAGCACCGGCUAACUACGUG
rnacentral:rRNA from 1 species